rnacentral:rRNA from 1 species
CACGUAGGGUGCGAGCGUUGUCCGGAAUUAUUGGGCGUAAAGAGCUCGUAGGUGGUUUGUCGCGUUGUUCGUGAAAACUCACAGCUUAACUGUGGGCGUGCGGGCGAUACGGGCAGACUUGAGUACUGCAGGGGAGACUGGAAUUCCUGGUGUAGCGGUGGAAUGCGCAGAUAUCAGGAGGAACACCGGUGGCGAAGGCGGGGCUCUGGGCAGUAACUGACGCUGAGGAGCGAAAGCGUGGGGAGCGAACAGG